rnacentral:rRNA from 1 species
CAUGAAGCUGGAUUCGCUAGUAAUCGCGCAUCAGCCACGGCGCGGUGAAUACGUUCCCGGGCCUUGUGCACACCGCCCGUCAAGCCAUGGAAGCCGGGAGUGCCUGAAGUGUGCAACCGCAAGGAGCGCCCUAAGGUAAAACCGGUGACUGGGGCUAAGUCGUAACAAGGUAUC